GUGGGGAAUCUUGCGCAAUGGGCGAAAGCCUGACGCAGCCAUGCCGCGUGAAUGAUGAAGGUCUUAGGAUUGUAAAAUUCUUUCACCGGGGACGAUAAUGACGGUACCCGGAGAAGAAGCUCCGGCUAACUUCGUGCCAGCAGCCGCGGUAAUACGAAGGGGGCUAGCAUUGCUCGGAAUUACUGGGCGUAAAGGGCGCGUAGGCGGACAGCUUAGUCAGAGGUGAAAGCCCAGGGCUCAACCUUGGAAUUGCCUUUGAUACUGGCUGUCUUGAGUUUGGGAGAGGUGAGUGGAACUCCGAGUGUAGAGGUGAAAUUCGUAGAUAUUCGGAAGAACACCAGUGGCGAAGGCGACUCACUGGCCCAAUACUGACGCUGAGGCGCGAAAGCGUGGGGAGCAAACAGGAUUAGAAACCCGUGUAGUCC
rnacentral:rRNA from 1 species